AACGAACGCUGGCGGCAUGCCUAACACAUGCAAGUCGAACGAGACCUUCGGGUCUAGUGGCGCACGGGUGCGUAACGCGUGGGAACCUGCCCUUAGGUUCGGAAUAACUCCCCGAAAGGGGUGCUAAUACCGGAUAAUGUCUUCGGACCAAAGAUUUAUCGCCUUUGGAUGGGCCCGCGUUGGAUUAGCUAGUUGGUAGGGUAAAAGCCUGCCAAGGCGACGAUCCAUAGCUGGUCUGAGAGGAUGAUCAGCCACACUGGGACUGAGACACGGCCCAGACUCCUACGGGAGGCAGCAGUGGGGAAUAUUGGACAAUGGGCGAAAGCCUGAUCCAGCAAUGCCGCGUGAGUGAUGAAGGCCUUAGGGUUGUAAAGCUCUUUUACCCGGGAUGAUAAUGACAGUACCGGGAGAAUAAGCGCCGGCUAACUCCGUG
rnacentral:rRNA from 1 species